rnacentral:antisense_RNA from 1 species
CUUCAGCGAGCCGAUGUAGAGCGGCCGGUCGGCGGGGCGGUUCUGGCCGUAGGUGGCGAUGAGGGCCUGGGCUUC